rnacentral:rRNA from 1 species
GAUGAACGCUGGCGGCGUGCCUAAUACAUGCAAGUCGAGCGAACAGAUGAGGAGCUUGCUCCUCUGACGUUAGCGGCGGACGGGUGAGUAACACGUGGAUAACCUACCUAUAAGACUGGGAUAACUUCGGGAAACCGGAGCUAAUACCGGAUAAUAUAUUGAACCGCAUGGUUCAAUAGUGAAAGACGGUUUUGCUGUCACUUAUAGAUGGAUCCGCGCCGCAUUAGCUAGUUGGUAAGGUAACGGCUUACCAAGGCAACGAAGCGUAGCCGACCUGAGAGGGUGAUCGGCCACACUGGAACUGAGACACGGUCCAGACUCCUACGGGAGGCAGCAGUAGGGAAUCUUCCGCAAUGGGCGAAAGCUUGACGGAGCAACGCCGCGUGAGUGAUGAAGGUCUUCGGAUCGUAAAACUCUGUUAUUAGGGAAGAACAAAUGUGUAAGUAACUAUGCACGUCUUGACGGUACCUAAUCAGAAAGCCACGGCUAACUACGUG